AGACAGGCAGUCCGGCGCCAGGCCCGAAACCAGGCCUGGGCCUGCCUGGCCUAAACCCAGUAGUUAAAAAUCAACUCAUAACUUAGAAACUGGUGUUAUUCAUAGAUUCCAGACAUUGUAUAGAAAAACAUUGUGAAACUCCCUGCUCUGUUCUGUUUCUCUCUGACCACCGGUGCAUGCAGCCCCUGUCACGUACCGCCUGCUUGCUCAAAUCAAUCAUGACCCUUUCAUGUGAAAUCUUUAGUAUUGUGAGCCCUUAAAAGGGACAGAAAUUGUGCAUUCGGGGAGCUCGGAUUUUAAGGCAGUAGCUUGCUGAUGCUCCCAGCUGAAUAAAGCCCUUCCUUCUACAAUUCGGUGUCUGAGAGGUUUUGUCUGCGGCUCGUCCUGCUACAUUUCUUGGUUCCCUGACCAGGAAACGAGGUAACUGAUGGACAGCCGAGGCAGCCCCUUAGGCGGCUUAGGCCUCCCCUGUGGAGCAUCCCUGCGGGGGACUCCGGCCAGCCUGAGUGACACGAUCCAAAGAGCACUCCCGGGUGGGAAAUUGCCCCGGUGGAACGCCUCACCAGAGCAGCGUGUAGCAGGCCCCUGCGGAGGAUUAACACAGUGGCUGAACACCGGGAAGGAACUGGCACUUGGAGUCCGGACAUCUGAAACUUGUAGACUGGGAGCUGUACAUGGAUGGGAGCAGCUUCACCAACCCCUGCAAAGUGACUCUGAAGAAGACGACAAGCCCUGCUCCAGUCACACCCGGAAGCUGACUGGUCCACGCACAGCUGAAGCAUGAGGAAACUCAUAGCGGGACUCAUUUUCCUUAAAAUUUGGACUUGUACAGUAAGGACUUCCACUGACCUUCCUCAGACUGAGAACUGUUUCCAGUAUAUACAUCAAGUCACUGAGAGAACAUCACCACCCUGAAGCCAGAGACUAACACUGCAGGACUCAGCAGGACUAUUUAAGAAACAACUGAGGCAUCAGACCAACUUUCCCCACAAGUCCUCGGAUCUUUCCUGCCAUGCUGAUGGCAUAUAUUCCAACGUGAUCAACCUGGCCCCCCAGAAGGAGGACAAGUUUGCUGUCUACGCCAACAUGCUCCUUUUCAUCACCCCAGGAGGACAUUACCAGACCAAGUGGAAUACGUCUCCAUUGUAUUCCACUGAUGGGAAGCUAAUGAGAUGCUCAGAGUGGGGGUCAGACCUGGCCCCAGCUGAAUCUUGGCAUACCCUUUGCUUUAGAUUUAUGUGUGUGUUUAAAAAAAAAAUACAUAGGCCAGGCGCAGUGGCUCACACCUGUAUCCCAGCACUUUGGGAGGCUGAGGCAGGUAGAUCACCAGGUCAAGAAAUCAAGACCAUCCAGGCCAACAUGGUGAAACCCCGUCUCUACUAAAGAUACAAAAAUUAGCCAGGUGUGGUGGUGCAUGCCUGUAAUCCCAGCUACUUGGAAGGCUGAGGCAGGAGAAUCACUUGAACCCAGGGGGCGGAAGUUGCAGUGAGCCAAGAUCACACCGCUGCACUCCAGCCUGGCGACAGAG